rnacentral:rRNA from 1 species
CCUACGGUGGGCAGCAGUGGGGAAUAUUGGGCAAUGGGCGCAAGCCUGACCCAGCAACGCCGCGUGAAGGAAGAAGGCUUUCGGGUUGUAAACUUCUUUUCUCAGGGACGAAGCAAGUGACGGUACCUGAGGAAUAAGCCACGGCUAACUACGUGCCAGCAGCCGCGGUAAUACGUAGGUGGCAAGCGUUAUCCGGAUUUACUGGGUGUAAAGGGCGUGUAGGCGGGAAAGCAAGUCAGAUGUGAAAGCCCGUGGCUCAACCGCGGAACUGCUUGGGAAACUGUAUAGCUUGAGUACUGGAGAGGCAGGCGGAAUUCCUAGUGUAGCGGUGAAAUGCGUAGAUAUUAGGCGGAACACCAGUGGCGAAGACGGCCUGCUGGACAGAAACUGACGUUGAGGCUCGAAAGCGUGGGUAGCGAACAGGAUUAGAUACCCUAGUAGUC